rnacentral:rRNA from 1 species
CCUACGGGGGGCUGCAGUUAGGAAUCUUGCGCAAUGGGCGAAAGCCUGACGCAGCAACGCCGCGUGGGGGAAGAAGGCCUUCGGGUUGUAAACCCCUUUCAGUGGGGACGAAAAUGACGGUACCCACAGAAGAAGCCCCGGCCAACUACGUGCCAGCAGCCGCGGUGACACGUAGGGGGCAAGCGUUGUCCGGAUUUAUUGGGCGUAAAGGGCUCGUAGGCGGUUCGGCAAGUCGGGUGUGAAACCUCCAGGCUCACCCUGGAGCCGCCACCCGAAACUGCUGUGACUUGAGUCCGGUAGGGGAGCAUGGAAUUCCUGGUGUAGCGGUGGAAUGCGCAGAUAUCAGGAGGAACACCAGUGGCGAAGGCGAUGCUCUGGGCCGGUACUGACGCUGAGGAGCGAAAGCAUGGGGAGCGAACAGGAUUAGAUACCCUGGUAGUC